GAAAACCCAGAAUUAUACCGUCGCAGUAGCCUAUUGGCUAGGUGGCAUGACAGAAUUGUAUUUUAUAAGUACAUACGUGGUAAAGCUGCACCUGGGCACGUUGAAUGUCAUG
rnacentral:sRNA from 25 species